rnacentral:lncRNA from 1 species
AUGAUCCCGGCUCUCGCGGCCAGCCGGCCCCCGCCGGGUCGUGCAAACGGGGACCCCGGCUCCCCGCCCGGCAGCCCGGCACAUUCCUCCGCGGGCGUCCCCUCCCUCACCCCCCCUUCUCCCCCAGCUCUCACCUCGUCGCGGAGGGGCUCCCCGAGCCGCUCGGCAGAGCGCAAAGGGACAAACUUUCCGGGAAGCGUGAGACGCGAGCGGGAGAGAUCCGGGGCCGGAUCGGGGCUGCCCCCGCCCCUCGCCGGGUCCCCGGGCGGCGGGCGGCGGACUCGCGCCCCGGGGGCGGCAGCAGCAGCGGCGCCAGCGGCCGGCGCCCGCCCGGGCAGCGCGAGCUGGGGCGGGAGCGAGGGGCGGGGGACCGGCGGGCGCGCGCACGCGGGCGGGCGGGCGCGCACCGUCCCGGGAAGGGCCCUGGAGCGACCCAGACUAAUCCGGUUAAAGGGGCAAUGCCAACGGGACUGUGGGGCCCACCGGGAGGGGACGAGAGAACCGAGUUGCGGAAGCAGAAGGGCGAGCAGGACGCCAGGACUCGGAGGAUUACGGCCGCCUGAGGAGCCGGGAAAGGUGGGGGCGGGCCCUGGAGGGGACCCAGGCCCCGGACCCGCGGACGUCGCCGCCGUCGGAGGCGCGCCCAGGGGGCGGGGCCUCCCCUAUGGCCCCGCCCAGGAGGCGGUUCCGCCCAGCUCCCGCCCCGAGGCGCGAGGCGCCGGCCGGCUCCUCCCUCAGCUCCAGUCAUCGCCUCUCCUCCUCCCCGGCCGGCGUAUGGUUCUAGAAUUCGCCGCGCAGCUGCCUCAGGUGCUGUGGCCAAGUGCGGUCAGCGGCGGCACAGCCACCCGGGCGCUCUGUCCCUGCCUGGCCCUCAAGCUCUGCCGUCCCGGCCUGCCCAAGCCGCCGCCUCAGGCCCAACCACUCCCGCAGGCCUGGGUGGCCCCUCGGGCCCAGGCCUCCCCUCCAGACCCAGCCUGUCCCGUCAGGCAUGGGCCGGCCACCCGGGGGCCACAUCGACUCCUCAGGCCCCAGUUAUGCCCUCAGGCUUGGCUGCUCCCGAAGGCCUGGCCCCUUCCCAGUCCACCUGCCAGGGGUCCCCUCUGCCCCCUCAGGCCUGUCCUCUCCCUCAAGGCAUGGCUGCCGCCCCCACCACCCCCGGGCUCUGCCCAGCCUGGCCCUUCAGCUCCUCAUCUGCCCUGUCAGGCUCAGGUGCCCUCCAGGACCCUGAGUACCUCCUCGGUCAACUAUUGA